AGGGGCUCUGCCUGAGGACAGUACCCUUCACUCCCCUUUCUGCCAUUCAGUCCCUCUUACCUGACAGAUGAGGAUCAGGUGGUGCGUGCCCAACCAACAGUCCCAUGAGGAAAAUCAAUUCUUCGUGAGCAAAAAUUGGUGCUGAACAAAACUACAUUUAUGCUUGUCAUCUUGAGAAAGAGGAAUUACACUCGGAGCUUUCGCCAUGGAAACAGCAUAUGAUUUUUUUCAUCAUUUUAAGUGUGUAUAUGUGUGUGUGUGUAUGUAAACACAUUGAACCCACUUUGUUGAGCACCUACCUUAGGCCUGGCAUUUUUCUAGGCAUGAGGGUAGAUGGAGAUCAAGACGGAUUAGGUCCCUGUUCUCAAGGAUUUCUUGUUCAUGAAAAGCCAAUUGUUAUUUUUUGUUCGUUUAUUUGUUUGCUGUUUCAGAAGGAAAAGUUCAACCCUUGGCAGGGUGUCAAGAGGCCAACAUCCCAGGACAGAAUAGAAACCUAAAGUUUGUAUUUUUGAUACCCCAAGUGCUCUUUUGAAGGAAUUCGAGAAAUGUCUGGUCUCUGGGAAGUUGUGGAAGGGGCAGAAGGAGAACAGAGUCCAAGCGCCAGAGAGCACAGGUGUGGACAGUUGUCCCAGGGAGGUGAUGCUGCACAGAAAGUGUUGGGGGCAUGGACCGUAGCAGGACCACAGCAGGGACAGCGCUGUGUCAGAAGCCCUGCCCAACCAGGCUCCUCUCCUGGCUGUCCAGCCUUCGGCAGCGAGGUCGAGGUGGUAGAUCGCAAGGCCCCAGGGCCCGCCCAGCUGAAAGUUCUGCCCUCCCAGGGAUGGGAAUUGACUCCUCUACACCUGCAGGAGCAAAGUACGGUUCUGCCACUGUCUGGUUGUCUGGCGCUCACCUCUCACCUCUGUGUCACAAGCCAGGUCACCAUAAGCCCAGGGAGGACUUCCCCUUUCCUUGGGAAUUACCAGUUCCGUGAAACUAAUUAUCGUAAACCAUAUGUACAGACUUAGUGUGUGAGCAGAGGCCUUCACCAGACUAUCUUUUAACAUUAAAACUCAUCUUCAAGUGCUCACUGUGUUCCAACCACACUUGUCUUUUUCUCCUGUUCUUCAAAUAUACCUUAUUUCUGUUUCAGGGUCUUAGCACAUGUUCCCUCUGCCUGGAGUCCUUAUGCCCAGAUCAUCACAUGGCAGGCUUCAUACUGUUCAGGCUUCAGCCUAAAUGUCACCUCCUCAGAGAGGCCUUCCCUGACCACCCUAUUUCAUGUCGAUUGCCCUACUUGCAGCCCAGACAGUGUCUAAUAUAUUACCUGAUUCCUUCCCUCCCCCUUUCUCUCCCUCCUUCCCUUCUGUUCUUCUAUUUUCUUGGUCAUCGGGUGAAAAGUGUUGAGUCAAUCAUACACCUUAGUUCAUGGUGUACUGUUAUCACUCUUCUUCCAUGGAUAUUUCUCCCGUUCAUCCCUGGUUUCCAUUUCCAUUCCUUCUGCUUCCACAUAUGCAUCCACUAUAAGCUAUUAGAUAUAUAUCCUUUGGUAUAAAUGCAAUGUUGUAAAAUGUCAGGUGUUGUUUUGUAUAUGUUUUAAAUUUUUAUUAAUAGUAUUGUGCAAUAGACCUUGUUCUAUUUCUUAUGCUUUGCACUCAACAGUGGGUUUUAAAGAUCCACCUAUAUUUGCUAUAUGUACCUCUGGUUCACUGCUUCCAACUGAUCCCCAGCAUUCGGUAGUGUGCAUUCAUCCCCUCAGGAUGCAUCCAGCUCCCAGAUUCCAUAUACAGCUCUACAGCGAGCAUCCUCAUCUUUACUCCUUUAUGGACCUGGGUGAGAACUGAUCUGGAUAUAUACCCAUGGAAAGGAUUGCUGGGCCAUAUGUAUAUGCAUAUUUAUAUACACGGAGAAGAACCACAAGUCUGUGAACUAGCUGCAGAGUCUCGCUUCUCAGAACCUGGAGUCUUGAUUUUUAAGAGCAAUUUUUAUAUCUUAAGUAAAUCAAAUUAAUUCCCAGAAGAACUGAUACAAAUACUUGUUUAAAACAGCCACAAAAUCUCAGAGGCAUAUGACAACAAAAUAUUCAUAUAGCUCAAGAAACUAGGGGUUGAGCAUCAAGGCUUCUGAAGCCUGGGCUUGGAGCUGGCACACUUUCUUUCACUCUUAUCUCAUUCUGUUGGCCAAACUCUAAGUCGAAGGACUCAACUUUACGAGAAUGAAUAGCCAUCUGCAAAACAGAAAGAGUGUCUUCACCAGACACCAGAUCUUCCAGUGUCUUGAUCUUGGACUUCCCAGCCUUCAGAACUGUUUGGAACUCUGAAGCUGUGAGCCAGGAGCUGUGGUGCCCAUCUUGCCGUCACAAGGAGAGACUUGCCCAAGAACGGACCAAUAUAGAGAAAAACAGAGCCAAGACAAAGCAAAACCAGAUUAGCCCUGAGCUAACUACUGCCAGUCCUCCUCUUUUUCGCUGAGGAAGCCUGGCCCUGAGCUAACAUCCGUGCCCAUCUUCCUCUACUUUAUAUGUGGGACGCCUACCACAGCAUGGUGUGCCAAGCGGUGCCAUGUCCACACCUGGGAUUUGAACCGGCUAACCCCAGGCCGUUGAGAAGCAGAACAUGCGAACUUUGCUGCACCACCGGGCUGGCCCCCGUGACACUAGAAAUAUUUUUUAAAAAAUAAUCAUAUUAACUGAUGAAAACUUAGAAAAGCUUUUCUAAGUAAAUUCUUGAUUUCAGAACUUAAAGAGAACUGAUUAUUGCUCUUUGUAUCUCUAUCUUGAAUAUAAAUGAUUAAUGCUCUUUAAAAUGGCCUUCUUCCAAGCUAAACUGAUGUGCAUAUGACAUUAAUCCAAUAUAUUUAGGAAUAGUAAACAGGACUUCUCCCUAAAAAUUAAAAUAUACUUCCCUCCAUGUUAAGAAAACAAGAUAAUAAUUUCUCUAUUGACCUGGAAAUUUGUCUUUCUCAAAUUCUAAUUCUGAGUUAAUAAACUAAUUAUAAGUUCUUAUCAUAGUUAAUUUGAAAUAUGUUUUAAAUGAUUACUUAUGACAAUAUUUGAGACUUUUUUCCACACUGGUAUCUUUCAUUUCUUUAUUCUAAAUGUAUCCAAGUAUCUGAUCAAAUUAAAUGAUCAAAAAUCUUGAUCUCACAAUUUUAUGAAAAAACAAUUUGGAGGCAUAUGUUGUCACGGGGUAUUUACAUUUGCAUUAUUUAGUAAGAUGGUUUUUUUUCCCUCCUGGAGGUUGGGCAAGGGAGAUCAUUGGGAACAUUAAUGACGAGAGUGCAGGGGAAAACACUGCCAACUCUUGCCUUUCAGUGGCAUUUCACAGGUCUUAAUCUUACAGCCCAUUUUAAACCCAUAAAGGUCAUUUACCUUCUCUCACAAACCUUUAACUCACCUGAGAGAUGGGUUUAGCCAAAGAUAAAGCUCCUGUGAAUUGGUAACCUGGCUUUCGGAGAAGACUUACAUAGUAACUAAGGUGUUGGAUAAACACUUACCAUUUAUUUACAGAAGCCUCACAGCUAUGAUUAUCAUACUGAUUGUUUCUUCCUAGCUGUCUUGAAGCUCCUUUUUCCAGGAAGAGAGUCAGUUUAAACAUAAUUAAAAGUUGGGAAUUAUUUCCUUUAAUUUGGGCUUAUCAAGUUAUUAGGUUGUAUCAGCAAAUACCAUGUUUAUAGGUAGAAAUGAUCACGCAUAUUAGCAAUUUUUAGGGAAAAAA
rnacentral:lncRNA from 1 species